UUAACCGUAUAGGGGAGCCGAAGGGAAACCGAGUCUUAACUGGGCGUUAAGUUGCAGGGUAUAGACCCGAAACCCGGUGAUCUAGCCAUGGGCAGGUUGAAGGUUGGGUAACACUAACUGGAGGACCGAACCGACUAAUGUUGAAAAAUUAGCGGAUGACUUGUGGCUGGGGGUGAAAGGCCAAUCAAACCGGGAGAUAGCUGGUUCUCCCCGAAAGCUAUUUAGGUAGCGCCUCGUGAACUCAUCUUCGGGGGUAGAGCACUGUUUCGGCUAGGGGGUCAUCCCGACUUACCAACCCGAUGCAAACUGCGAAUACCGAAGAAUGUUAUCACGGGAGACACACGGCGGGUGCUAACGUCCGUCGUGAAGAGGGAAACAACCCAGACCGCCAGCUAAGGUCCCAAAGUCAUGGUUAAGUGGGAAACGAUGUGGGAAGGCCCAGACAGCCAGGAUGUUGGCUUAGAAGCAGCCAUCAUUUAAAGAAAGCGUAAUAGCUCACUGGUCGAGUCGGCCUGCGCGGAAGAUGUAACGGGGCUAAACCAUGCACCGAAGCUGCGGCAGCGACGCUGAUGCGUUGUUGGGUAGGGGAGCGUUCUGUAAGCCUGUGAAGGUGGCCUGUGAGGGUUGCUGGAGGUAUCAGAAGUGCGAAUGCUGACAUAAGUAACGAUAAAGCGGGUGAAAAGCCCGCUCGCCGGAAGACCAAGGGUUCCUGUCCAACGUUAAUCGGGGCAGGGUGAGUCGACCCCUAAGGCGAGGCCGAAAGGCGUAGUCGAUGGGAAACGGGUUAAUAUUCCCGUACUUGGUGUUACUGCGAAGGGGGGACGGAGAAGGCUAUGUUGGCCGGGCGACGGUUGUCCCGGUUUAAGCGUGUAGGCUGGUUUUCCAGGCAAAUCCGGAAAAUCAAGGCUGAGGCGUGAUGACGAGGC
rnacentral:rRNA from 1 species